rnacentral:lncRNA from 10 species
CUGGAAGAGAGAGAAAAAAAGUCAAAUACAGUAAAAUUCCUAUACCUUGAUACUGUACAAAAUGAAAAGGGAGCCGAUGAGGCGGCCAAUUAUUCUUCCAAUCUAUUAAACUAACCUUGAAAACAAAUUAGAAUCACUUCAACCCCUUUUACAUAACAAGGAACAAUACUUAACAUGCUUGACUGUGAACACUAAGAAUCAGGUUUUCUCCAGCACUGUUUUGAGAAAUGACAGGAUUGUAUUAAAUCCAGACAGUGCUGGCAAGCAACAGUAGAACUAUAACUCAUCUUAAAAUCCAGUUAUAAAAGAAAAUGUUCAGGUCUUCUGACUAGCAAAGAGACGAUUCUUCCAUCUCUAGACCUAACUGUGGCUUCACAGGACAUAUUCAGCAGAAUCAGUACAUAUGGUCUCCACAUGAUUCCAGUCUUGUAAGACACAUUUUUAGAGCCAAAAACUUCUCAUACUUCCAAAUGACAAUUGUUUUACUAAGAUAAUAUGUUAACAAGAAGCUACUAUGAAUUCGAUAAAAAUGACUUUGUAUUUUGCUAACUUCUACACAGGUGAAAAAAGUCCGUAUUUGCAAUACCAGGAUUAAUACCUCUAUAAGAG